GUCUAUGGCCAUGCUACCCUGAACAAGCUGGAUCCCGUCUGAUCUCAGAAGCUAAACAGGAUUGGGCCUGGUUAGUACUUGGAUGAGAGACCACCUAGGAAGACCAGGUGCUAUACGUG
rnacentral:rRNA from 1 species